UACGGAGGGGGCUAGCGUUGUUCGGAAUUACUGGGCGUAAAGCGCACGUAGGCGGAUUGUUAAGUCGGGGGUGAAAUCCCGGGGCUCAACCCCGGAACUGCCUUCGAUACUGGCAAUCUAGAGUUCUGGAGAGGUGAGUGGAAUUCCGAGUGUAGAGGUGAAAUUCGUAGAUAUUCGGAGGAACACCAGUGGCGAAGGCGGCUCACUGGCCAGACACUGACGCUGAGGUGCGAAAGAGUGGGGAGCAAACAGG
rnacentral:rRNA from 1 species